rnacentral:rRNA from 1 species
AGUCGCACGAGAAUCCCGGGCAACUGGGAGAGUAAAGUGGCGCACGGGUGAGUAGCGCGUGGGUAAUCUACCCUGAAGUUGGGAAUAACACCUCGAAAGGGGUGCUAAUACCGAAUAAUAUCCCCGGGACCCCGGUCCGGGGGAUCAAAGAUGGCUGAGGCUUGCAAGCUAUCGCUUUAGGAUGAGCCCGCGUACCAUUAGCUAGUUGGUGGGGUAAUGGCCCACCAAGGCCAUGAUGGUUAGCUGGUCUGAGAGGAUGGCCAGCCACACUGGAACUGAGACACGGUCCAGACUCCUACGGGAGGCAGCAGUGAGGAAUCUUGCGCAAUGGGGGAAUCCCUGACGCAGCAACGCCGCGUGAGUGAUGAAGGCCUUCGGGUCGUAAAGCUCUGUCGGAUGGGAAGAAAGUUCCGGCGGUGAAUAAUCGCCGGGAUUGACGGUACCGUCAAAGGAAGCACCGGCUAACUCCGUGCCAGCAGCCGCGGUAAUACGGAGGGUGCAAGCGUUGUUCGGAAUCAUUGGGCGUAAAGAGCGUGUAGGCGGUCGGGUAAGUCAGAUGUGAAAUCCCUUGGCUUAACCAAGGAAGGGCAUUUGAAACUGCCCGGCUUGAGUACGGGAGGGGGAAGUGGAAUUCCCGGUGUAGAGGUGAAAUUCGUAGAUAUCGGGAGGAACACCGGUGGCGAACGCGGCUUCCUGGACCGAUACUGACGUUGAGACGCGAAAGCGUGGGGAGCAA